GACGAACGCUGGCGGCGCGCUAAACACAUGCAAGUCGAGCGAGAACCAGCCCUUCGGGGCUGGGGACAGCGGCGAACGGGUGAGUAACACGUGGGUAAUCAACCCUCGGUACUGGGAUAGCCCGGGGAAACCCGGAUUAAUACCGGAUGGCCCUUCGGAUCUUUGGUUCUGAAGGAAAAGGUAGCUUCGGCCUCCGACCGAGGACGAGCCCGCGGCGGAUUAGCUUGUUGGUGGGGUAACGGCCUACCAAGGCGACGAUCCGUAGCUGGUCUGAGAGGACGAUCAGCCACACUGGGACUGAGACACGGCCCAGACUCCUACGGGAGGCAGCAGUGGGGAAUCUUGCGCUAAUGCGGGAAACCGUGACGCAGCGACGCCGCGUGGGGGAAGAAGGCCUUCGGGUUGUAAACCUCUUUCAGGAGGGACGAAGCUACUCGGGUUAAUAGCCCAGAGGGUGACGGUACCUCCAGAAGAAGCCCCGGCUAACUACGUGCCAGCCGCCGCGGUAACAC
rnacentral:rRNA from 1 species